CUCGACUACUAUAUUCGAACUGUGUUAUGUUUAAUAAUGCCCAUUCUUUCUGGGACAGGAUUAAUUCGGCGCUAAAAGUAAGCGUGAACCAGCUCCCCGAUCGUCAAUGGGUUCCUAGUUCUUUCAUAUGACGAAACUCGAGAGUCGAACCAUUAAUCGAGUCAAACACCAAGUGGCACCGGAUUAUUUAUGUUUCAUCACCCACUUUGUAAUGAAGAGUUUACUUCCUGGUAACUAUAGGCAAUCAUUUUGUUGUAUGGUGCCCUAUUAGAUUAUACAUCAUUUGUUUCUCUUUAAAAAAAUACUAAGCCGUUUUUAGUAUUACUGUGCAAAGUAGAAGCAUUUUAAAUACAAUGUUUGAAGGCUUGCGAAUAGCAAUCCAUACCUUCAAUUUAAUGUAUGUGAAAGAUUGUUUUGGAUCCUAUUUAAAAUAAUAUAGUUGCUUUGGAGCGAUCAAUUAAUCGCCUGAAGCAAAAUGACAUGAAUGGAACACUGACUAUAAAUCAAAGCGAAUUGAUUCGAACAUGUAUCAUUUGUUUUUAUCUGUUUGUGCCAAACAAGAAUUUCGUUGUUUUUUAAUGAAUAUCUAAGGUAUAGCAUGACAAUGUGUGAUAUAAAUAAAAGAUGAAUAAAAUAUAAAGAAGUGUUCUUAGUGUAAUUAUAGAGCAACUGGGUUUUUUCAGAGAAUGUGGUGAAAGGUUACUGAUUAGAUUUGGACCCACCUCAUUUCUUGUGCAGUCAAGGAUAAUUUAUUUGACAGAAAUUAGUUGAAAAUUAAGGCAAUGAGCCCAAAUGAAUGGAGUUUCAUUUUUUCUGAUUGCUCAAUAGAAGUUUUUUUUUCUCUGAAUUAUUUACUUAACAUCUGUGUAAUAUGAUUAGCUUUAUUAAGAACAUGGAUACACUUAAAUAACUGACUAAAACUUGUUUUGAUUUCUAACAUUCUAAACAAUCUAUAAACUUGAAAUGAUUGACCUACUGUAUGGCUUCUUUACUAUUUUGUGUUAUCGAAGCUUUUCCAAUCUUGUGCCGAGGAAACAAACAUAACACUAACGCCUAACAAUAUGUGCUCAUUACAAGUUAAGCUAAAAUUUCAUAAAGCAUGAACUCUACUGAACAGCUGUAAAGCACAUACAACUGAACUUCAAAAAUAGAUGAAUAAGAAAUAAAAGAAAAAUGAUUGUUGUAGAGUUAAAAUAAACUCUAUACUGAAUUCAAAAUGUGGAAUUUAUUAAAUUCAUUUCACAUUUCUAAAAAUAAGUAAUCUAGGUUACAGCUAAUUCAGCAAAAAAACCUUUAAAUCAAAAUUCAACUCUAUUCCCAAGUGUCUCCAGAAAAAGGUUUGUCAUAUGACAUUUAUAACUCCAGUGGUCAAGGCAUUCGCCAACUGUCCUGAGGCUUUCAGACCUGACACUUUCCUGUUCUACCAUUCCAGAGGCAAAUGUGCAGAGUUUGAUAGGAGGCUUCCUUGACAGUCGGCUGAACAUUUUCCAGUAUUCAUUCGUGAUCAUCUCUUAAUAACAUAAUCAUAUAUUGUACUGGAUCAAAAUUGAAAUGUAUGUAUCUCCUCAAUUGUUCAAAACUACUUCUUCUGCUAAGGGAAAUACCUGAUAUUCUAAGAUUAAGCCAGGGCCUGUCAUAAUAUGACUGGCAGCAUCAUCAAAAUAAAUUAAAAUUUCAAGCUGUGACAAAGCUCAAAAUAGACAGGACUGCUGUUGAUCCAAAAAUCUCUCACAGCACGUCGACACUAGUAUCUGGCUCAGAGCUUGGAGAGCUGAAAAAAGAACAUAACUUGUAGACCCAUGAAAGCAAUUAGACCCUUUGUCCAACUGUCAGUCUGUGGAUAUGAAAAGACCAAGUAUUUCAAUUGUUGACUUAAAAUUUUCCUCUAAUUAGUGCAGACUGAUCCCAAAACUUAUUGAAAACAGGACCAGAUGGGCCUAACUUUGGAGGUCAGCUGUUGUGAAAAAUAUGUGUUUCUAGCUUCUUGCCAAGCCAGACCAUGAUUCUUAGAGUGCAGGGUGAGUAAAUGCCAUUCAGCUCAGCAGUAUUUAAUGCCACGUAAGGAAGUUUAACUGGAAGCUCUGCUGACGAUGUUAAACAAGAAGACAUUCCCAGAAGUGUCUGUCAAACAAGAAGUCAAUAAAGAAUCCUAGGAUUAUACAGCUGUGAAAGAGGCUAUUCCACCCAAGGCAACGCCUGGAAAGAGCUGUCUAAUUAAUGCCAUGCCCAGGUUCCUACCCAAAGACUGCAGACAGAGAGAAGCCCUUCCAAGUGCAGGGGGAGAGAACAACUGCAGUUAUAAUGGUUUCCCCUGUAUCCCCCUCACAGCGUGCAGUUGUCUGAUUCCAAUUUGGACCACAUGUCCAGCCAUCAAUCUUUGUCUGCAUUUGAUAGCUUGGCAAUGUCAUUAGAGUUUUCUACUGUGAAAAUUGAUGCGAAGAGUUCAGUAAAAAAGGAGGAGAACAUGCCCGCAUCUACAUCAAUGGAACUGAGGUUGAGAUGGUGGAGAGCGUCAAAUUCCUACGAGUGAUGAUAACCGACAAUCUGUCCCGGACUUCCCAUCCUGGUUACAGGUCAAGAAGGCACAAUGCCUCCUCUUCCUCAGGCGACUCAGGAAAUUCGGCAUGUCCAUGAGGAUCCUCUCCAACGUUUACAGAUAUACGAUUGAAAGCAUACUGUCCGGGUGCAUAAUGGCCUGGUAUGGCAAUUGCUCUGCCCCAGAUGUUAAGAAACUACAG